AUUUGCCCCAUGCUGUAGCAGG
rnacentral:misc_RNA from 1 species